rnacentral:rRNA from 1 species
AACGAACGCUGGCGGCAUGCCUAACACAUGCAAGUCGAACGAGACCUUCGGGUCUAGUGGCGCACGGGUGCGUAACGCGUGGGAACCUGCCCUUAGGUUCGGAAUAACUCCCCGAAAGGGGUGCUAAUACCGGAUAAUGUCUUCGGACCAAAGAUUUAUCGCCUUUGGAUGGGCCCGCGUUGGAUUAGCUAGUUGGUAGGGUAAAAGCCUACCAAGGCGACGAUCCAUAGCCGGUCUGAGAGGAUGAUCAGCCACACUGGGACUGAGACACGGCCCAGACUCCUACGGGAGGCAGCAGUGGGGAAUAUUGGACAAUGGGCGAAAGCCUGAUCCAGCAAUGCCGCGUGAGUGAUGAAGGCCUUAGGGUUGUAAAGCUCUUUUACCCGGGAUGAUAAUGACAGUACCGGGAGAGUAAGCUCCGGCUAACUCCGUG